rnacentral:rRNA from 1 species
UACGUAGGGUGCAAGCGUUGUCCGGAAUUAUUGGGCGUAAAGAGCUCGUAGGCGGCGCGGUAAGUCGGGUGUGAAAUCUCGGAGCUUAACUCCGAAACUGCAUUCGAUACUGCCGUGCUUGAGGACUGGAGAGGAGACUGGAAUUUACGGUGUAGCGGUGAAAUGCGUAGAUAUCGUAAGGAAGACCAGUGGCGAAGGCGGGUCUCUGGACAGUUCCUGACGCUGAGGCACGAAGGUCAGGGGAGCAAACGGG